AUGCAAUUUGAAGAUGAUGACCUUGGCACACCAGCUCCUCCUAACCCAUUCAGUCAUCUCACAGAAGGAGAACUUGAAGAAUAUAAGAAGACAAUUGAGUGGAAACAACAAGGCCUAGAAGAAAACCACAAGCUAUUUUCCAAGAGCUUCAUCUCCAUGGAAGUGCCUGUCAUGGUAGUAAAUGGCAAGGAUGAUAUGCACAACGUUGAAGAUGAGCUUGCUAACCGAGUGAGUAGAUUAACUACAAGUACGACCAUAGAAAACAUCGAGAUUACCAUCAAGUCUCCAGAAAAAAUUGAAGAAGUCCUGUCACCUGAUGGCUCACCUUCAAAAUCACCAUCUAAGAAAAAGAAGAAAUUCUGCAUUCCUUCUUUUCUGAAAAAGAACAAGAAAAAAGAGAAAGUUGAAGCUUAACUAAAGUCUUUUUAUAAUUACUACAAUGUGACAUUGCACAUUUAAUACCACAUUUAAGUUGAUCAUUACUAUACAGUGGUAGAUCAGAUUGGGGUAUGUAGCAAGCCGGACUUGCAGAACUGGAAGAGGUUUUACUAAAAGAAAAAUAUUAUGAAAAAAACCUUUGAAAUUCAUCUCUUUUUAUAUGUCCAAAAAUGGCUUUGAAUUUUUAAACAGUUGCUAGUUUUAAUUAGCUCUGCUCUCAUGAAGUAUUAUUAUAGUUCACCACAAAUACAUCUGUCUGAAUUACUUCAGGACUUCUUCAUAAUAACUAUUGGAAAGAAAUUGCCAAGGAAGAAGUGAGAAUAUUUAUUUCUCCACACCUACUGCAGUUAAAAAUCAGAUUAUGAUUUUUAAAUUAUGAUUAUUGAUUGUAUCUUUUGGGUUCCCAUUGUUUCAAUGGGCAUUAAUGGAAUCCUUUAAAAGUGUCUAAGAUAAAAAUCU
rnacentral:lncRNA from 1 species